UUGGGCCAAAUGGAAUUUUUGGCCUGCGUGGAAAAUUACUUAUUUUUGAGAAAUGAUAAUUUUGGGUCUCAUGCAUAUGGUAUUAUGUUCAUGCAUUUUGUUAUUGCAUAAAUGUAUUUUUAUCUCGUGGUUUAUUUGGAUUAUUGCUUACCUGUGAUACCAUUUCUUGGUAUCAUAGAUUUUGAUGCAGAUGACGAAGAAGUUGAGCCCAAGGAGGCAACUUCGUCGAAUGAGUAAAUUGGUGGUUUUUGCUUGAUUUUAUUGGGAAUUAGUUCCCUGCUUUUUAAUUAUGUAUUUUGGAUUUUUAUGAUGUUGUUACUGGAUAUUUGUAACAUUUUUGUUACGCUUGUAUUUAAGUGAGUUUGUAUUUUAACAAUUCUGGUACUUAGUUGACUGAUUUUAAUUAUCCGUUGUGUUGUUUUGUUGUACACAUGUUGCAUGUACAUACACUUGACACUUGGCGAUGUGAUGCAUGACCCAUGUUGUCAUCAUCCAGACGCCUCAAUUUUCACGUGUCCAUACUUGGGAGUUGGGAGCAUCACACAAGCAAAAAAUAGCAAUACAUAAAUUAGAUGAGAUGUUGAGUUUUCAGAAGUUGAGUUGUGAAAGAUUUGACCUAGGAUACACAACUUUCCAAGACAAAGAGCUUACAAUGUCAUCAUCCGCUGCCACUACCUCUAAGGGUAUUGUCUUUGUCAAAAGAAGCCAAGUUGUGGAUGAUCCAAAAGAAGUCGCUUCAAAGUCAAAUAUUUUUAGAAAACCUCGUGGAAAAUCAACCUCAAAAAGGCUGAUUCAAAGUAAGUUUAUUCAUACUGUCAUCAUUGUGGUGUUGUUGGUCAUAUAAAGCCAUAUUGCUUUAGCUUGAAUAAAGUGCAUAAAAUUAAAGUGAAAGAAACCCAAAAACUAAAGGGAAGAAUCUAGAGAGUCAAGUUUGUGAUAUGAGUCAACAAAUCAACUUGUUAAGUCUCAAACUUGAUAAACUAGCAGAUUUUUGCUUUCAAAAUAAAGAAAAGAUCAUACAAAGUUAUGUUGAUGAAAAGAAUAGACCAAAAUUUAAAGCAAAGUGGAUGGUCAGAGAAGAUGUCAUGUCACAUUAAUUGAUAGGACUCCUUGCAUGUUUCUGCAUUCUUUUUAUUAUUGCAUUUUGUUUUGUUUUGCUUUUAUGUUUUUGUUUUUCUGUUUUAAAUAAGAAAAAUAUAUUAUUUUUUCCCGUGUCAAAAUUUGAGAACUUGUGUGCUCACUUAAUAAAUUCUUGUACCUAUACAUCUCUCUACAUUGUGCAUAUUAACACUAUGGAUUAUCGUGACAAAGUUUAUUUACAAAGUACUGUGAGGUACUUAUAUAUAUAUAUGCAUAUUAUAAUCGAAGUUUAUCUUGAUGCUCAUCAUAGAGGGAGUUCAUGCCUUGAAUUGACUAAUACUAAUUGAACCUAGUACAUUAAUAAAUAGUUCUCCCAUUGCCAAACACAAAGAGUUGAUCUAUAGAGAAAAAGUUGGUGUUAAAUUAUUCAGAAAAAGAUUAACACCCUACACGGAUCUAUUUCACUAAGUUCUUAUAGAAAGAAUCGUUGCUCUUAUCAUUAUGGAAAAAGAUAAGCAACAAAAAUUGAUAUAAAAAUGGAGAAGGUUAUGCAAACUAGUGUUUGGAGGAGAUGCUCAUGUAUCUAGGCCCUAGCAUAAAGUUUGAUUUUUAAGGUGAGUAAUGAACUCUUGUGAGCAUCCAUAAGAAGAAAAUACUCUCAAUAAUAGUACCAUAAAUAUAUUGAAGAAUAAAAAAUAUAUAUUACUAAUAAAUGCUAUGGUAUAAGUUUACUCCAUCACACACUCACAUGAGCUUUGACAUUAAUGAUCUUAUGACGAGUGAACAUCCAUGAUAAUUGUUGCAAAUAAGAGAGUGUACUCUAAUUAAUUUGUUUUGUGAGUGACACCACGUUUGAAUUGAGAUGCAUCAAAACAUGUUAUUUUCCUCAUUGUUUAUAUAUAUAAGAAAAAUAUUCAUUUUUUAGUUUUUUUUAAUUUUUUAAUUUAUUAUUUUAUUUAAAAUAAAAUAAAUAAAGUGAUAAAAAUAUAAAAUAUAUUUUGUGAUUGGGUCAGUAUUGAGUAUUUGUGAUUCUAAAGUAGAAGUCUGGAACUUGAUUUCUGGUCUAUUGGCAUAAGUUCUAGUGGGACUCUAAGGCACAAAGCACAUGCAUGGUUUAAGUGAUUUCAAUCACAAAGAUGCGCCCAGCCCCCCGACAUAAUUACCCCUUCACUUGCACGGGAACUCAUCUAAACACAUGGCACUCUUUAUACACAAGCCCUAGCUCUCCUUAUCUCAUCCACAUCUCAUUCAAUUUUCUUGGGAGAAAUACUUGGUCCGAAGUUUGUUGACUAAAGAUUCUCCAUCACGGUAAGAUUUUGAAUUUAUUCAAAUCAUUAUCUCCUUCCAAUUUUAAGUUUCGGUACCUACAUAUAUGGAGAUUGAGAUUUUGAUUUUUGUUUAGAUGUUAGGACUAGAAUAUCUUAAAAUUUGAAAUAUAUGCUCAUAUGGUUCGAUUUUAUGCAUGUAUUGAUGACGAUUUUUAGUGCAUUAUGUGAUUAUACAGUUCAGUUUUAUCCCAGUGCAUACCAAGUGUUUGCUUUUUUGUCUCAAUCAUUUGCUCAUUGUUUGACAUACAUUCAUACCUAUACAUCAGGUGCAUUUAAUCUAUGAAAAGUUGAGACACAUGAGAGUUGUUCAUCAUGUCUUUCGUCUCGACACACAUAAAUAAUAUUUAUUCUCUUAUGAGUAUUGUUAGAUUCAUGACAAAAAGGGGGAGUAUUGGAAGAACAAAUUGAAAUAUGUUAAAAUAUUUUAGUAUUGUGAAAUUUAGGGGGAGUUUCAGUAAGUGUGUUAUUGAGGGGGAUUUUAAUGAACUUGCUUAAAUGAAUUCGUUAAGGGGGAGUUGAAUAAUAUUGAAGGGGAGAAAGUUUAUUUUUGCUGGACAUAAGCUUUUAUUCUUGAUUAUUUGUUUGUAAUUUCUACUUGGUUUCUUGGUUCGUUGUUUGUGUUUUUGACAGGUUUUAUAUUACAUUUAUCAAGCUGAUUUUGUCACCAAUUUGCCAAAGGGGGAGAUUGUAAAGGGCUCACGGUUCAUGACUACCGAUUGAAUGUUCGGUUUGCCAGCUACUCUUCUAGCUGUCCACCUGACAUGAUAAUGCCCUUUAUGUCACGGUUUCCACAAGUUGAAGGAUGCCGUAGAUCUUUGCGAUCCCAAUCUCACUCCUAAUUUUUGUGGAAGUUGGUGGAUUGUUUAAAAUGGAGGCCAGGUACAUAAUGAGAUUGCCAACAUCUUAGCAGUAAGUUUCUAUCAUGCUCAGGAUCACAUUUUUCUCACUUGACAACAUCAAGUUCUUUAUUGGGAUUGGGGGGGAAUGGGAUUGGGAUUGGGAUUGAGAUUAGAUAUGUUUGGGGUUUUAUCCAUUGAAUGCAUGCCUGGAGAGUGGAGUCCCCACUCAUUGUACCCAGUUGUUUGCGUUACUUUAAAUUACAGUUGCCAAGUCUUUAAGAUCUUUAUUAAUGCAUGUCAAUUGUUACAAA